UAUGCCUACGGGGGGCAGCAGUGGGGAAUAUUGCGCAAUGGGCGAAACCCUGACCCAGCGACGCCGCGUGAGGGAAGACGGUCUUCGGGUUGUAAACCUCUGUCUUUGGGGACGAAAAAGGACGGUACCCAAGGAGGAAGCUCCGGCUAACUACGUGCCAGCAGCCGCGGUAAUACGUAGGGAGCGAGCGUUGUCCGGAAUUACUGGGUGUAAAGGGAGCGUAGGCGGGAUUGCAAGUUGGAUGUGAAAACUGCGGGCUCAACCCGGAGCGUGCAUUCAAAACUGCGAUUCUUGAGUGAAGUAGG
rnacentral:rRNA from 1 species